UGGGGAAUUUUGGACAAUGGGGGCAACCCUGAUCCAGCCAUGCCGCGUGUGUGAAGAAGGCCUUCGGGUUGUAAAGCACUUUCGGACGGAACGAAAUCGCGCGGGUGAAUAUCCCGCGUGGAUGACGGUACUGUAAGAAGAAGCACCGGCUAACUACGUGCCAGCAGCCGCGGUAAUACGUAGGGUGCGAGCGUUAAUCGGAAUUACUGGGCGUAAAGCGUGCGCAGGCGGCUUCGCAAGUCAGACGUGAAAUCCCCGGGCUUAACCUGGGAAUGGCGUUUGAAACUACGGAGCUGGAGUGUGGCAGAGGGGGGUAGAAUUCCACGUGUAGCGGUGAAAUGCGUAGAUAUGUGGAGGAAUACCGAUGGCGAAGGCAGCCCCCUGGGCCAACACUGACGCUCAUGCACGAAAGCGUGGGGAGCAAACAGG
rnacentral:rRNA from 1 species